rnacentral:rRNA from 1 species
UACGGAGGGGGCAAGCGUUAUUCGGAAUUAUUGGGCGUAAAGGGCGCGUAGGCGGCUAGAUGUGUCGAACGUGAAAUCCCCGGGCUCAACCCGGGAACUGCGUCCGAUACUGGGAGGCUUGAAUCCGGGAGAGGGAUGCGGAAUUCCAGGUGUAGCGGUGAAAUGCGUAGAUAUCUGGAGGAACACCGGUGGCGAAGGCGGCAUCCUGGACCGGCAUUGACGCUGAGGCGCGAAAGCCAGGGGAGCAAACGGG